rnacentral:rRNA from 1 species
ACAAGGUUUCCGUAGGUGAACCUGCGGAAGGAUCAUUACCGAGUUAGGGUCUCCUCCGUGAGGCCCGACCUCCCAACCCUGUGUCUAAUAAACCUGUAUGUGUUGCUUCGGCGGAACGGCAGUCGCCCACCACCACCGUCCCCCUCACCGGGGACAGGAGGAGGGGAGGGAUACCGUCGCCGGGGGAUUCUACACGGUCUCACGGCCGUCCCCUGGAGAGCGUCCGCCGAUGGCCCCAACCAAACAAACUCCCAAACCAAAAUUAUAGUUAAACAAAACUUCUGAAUCAGAUCUUUUGAUAUACCAAUCAAAACCAAAACUUUCAACAACGGAUCUCUUGGUUCUGGCAUCGAUGAAGAACGCAGCGAAAUGCGAUAAGUAAUGCGAAUUGCAGAAUUUCCGUGAGUCAUCGAAUCUUUGAACGCACAUUGCGCCCUUUGGCAUUCCGAAGGGCAUGCCUGUUCGAGCGUCAUUAUCCUCUCUCAAACCCCCGGGUUUGGUGUUGGACCGCGUUGGACCGCCUCCAUGGCCAACUGGUCUCAAAGACAAUGACGGCGUCCCAGGGACCCUCUUCGCACUGAGUUCUCCGGAGCACGCGUAGAGUUGCAAGGACCCCGGGGCCCGGUCGCCUCUAGAAAUCUUUUUUUUCAAGGUUGACCUCGGAUCAGGUAGGAAUACCCGCUGAACUUAAGCAU